AUGCUACCGCGCUGCUGCUGGUUUCACAGUCCGGGCGGGACCAUCUUCUUCAUCAUCCGCGUCGUCGUCGUCGUCUCUCUAGUAGCACUCGGGGGCUCGGCAUCGACAUGCCCCCGGAAUGGCCGUGAGGGGCGGCACGUCCUCGCUGUCAGCCUUUCCUUCUUCACCACCACCGCAACGCCAGCCGUCUGUCCACGUGUGUCACGCGCGGGGCCUUGCUUCGGUCGGCCGCAUCCGUCCACGUGCUGCUCGCGUCUGUUUCCCUCCGCGUCGUGCCUUGCUCCGGAUGAAACGCGCGUUCGCUACUCCAAAUAUCAUCUAGACAAGCUAGCUAGGCACAGGUCCAGCAAUGGUCAAACCAUUGGCCAUACAUACAUGCCCGAGAUAUGCCUCGUACACUUCCCACACAUUGCUUGUUCAAUAGCCAGAUACUCCUUGUACAUUUCCCAUACUCGAGACAGACAUCAUCCCCAUCGCUUCGCCCAGCGCUCUGUCCGCUGCUCUGCCUCCAGCUCGUCUCCUAGUACGGCCGUGCCACCGAGCUCCCUUGCCCGGGCCGCGCAGCGUCCGUGCCUCUGCGCCCCUCUCGCAUGCCCGCGACCCCUGUCGCCAACUCCCUCACCAAAGCGCCGGCUGCUGCCCCACGCUACUCUCGUACGGUGCGAGCUGCGCCCACCCAGUUGGGCUCCUCCUCCUCGGGUGCUGCUGCACUACUCCGAGCCGGCUGUACCGCCCCUAGCGCCGGCUCCGCCUAGCCUCGUCCGGCUCCUGCGCUCCACCAUGCCCGCGGGCCGCGCUCCUGGCCGCCUGCAACGCCGUCGCCGCCUAGCGCCUCCCUACGUCACGCGGGGAUGCCUCCUUGCGUUGCGCGCCUCCUCAGCAUCGCCCGAGCUGUUGCCGAUCGCGUUCGUCUCGCCUCUGCCGGCAUUCAUCCGUGCCCCAAGCUCGGCCUCCCGUCGCCGGUGCCGCUUGGCUCCGCUUCUGGCCAAUCCGCGCCGGCUCCUCCCCGCCGGGUGCUCCGCGUCGAGUUCUCUGCGCCGGCUCCGGCUUCCCGCAAUCCGGCCGGCCAGCGCGCGACGGCUUCCCCCGCAUCCCGGACUCCUCCGUCCGUGUCAAGGCCGACUCCCGCGCACCUCUAAAUCACACCGAAGACCGUGCGCGCCUCUCCAUCGCCGCGUCUGA
rnacentral:rRNA from 1 species